rnacentral:other from 1 species
ACGGUUAUAAAUCAACAUAUUGAUUUAUAAGCAUGGAAAUCUCCUGAGUGAAACAACGAAUUGCUGUGUGUAGUCUUUGCCCAUCUCCCACGAUGGGCCUUUUUUUAA